rnacentral:tRNA from 1 species
CGCGGGGCGGUCGAGCAGUAAGACGCCUGGCUCAUACCCAGGAGAUCGCGGGUGCAAUUCCCGCCCCCGCUA